CCUGUACUUAUAGUUGGAACUACAGUUGCUAUAACAAAAACAAAUGGAUACGGCGAUGAUCAUUACUGCUGGCUGUCUCUAUCUGGUUGACUCAGAUGGGCAUUUGUUGGACCAGCCUUAUUCGUGAUACUGUUCAACGUCAUUGUUUUGAUUCUGCUGUUUAAGAAAAUGUUUGCUCUAAAAGCCAUGGUAGACAAGCAAAUUAAAGACAAGAUCAA